rnacentral:rRNA from 1 species
GAUGAACGCUGGCGGCGUGCCUAAUACAUGCAAGUCGAGCGAACGGACGAGAAGCUUGCUUUUCUGAUGUUAGCGGCGGACGGGUGAGUAACACGUGGAUAACCUACCUAUAAGACUGGGAUAACUUCGGGAAACCGGAGCUAAUACCGGAUAAUAUUUUGAACCGCAUGGUUCAAAAGUGAAAGACGGUCUUGCUGUCACUUAUAGAUGGAUCCGCGCUGCAUUAGCUAGUUGGUAAGGUAACGGCUUACCAAGGCAACGAUGCAUAGCCGACCUGAGAGGGUGAUCGGCCACACUGGAACUGAGACACGGUCCAGACUCCUACGGGAGGCAGCAGUAGGGAAUCGUCCGCAAUGGGCGAAAUCCUGACGGAGCAACGCCACGUGAGUGAUGAAGGUCUUCGGAUCGUAAAACUCUGUUAUUAGGGAAGAACAUAUGUGUAAGUAACUGUGCACAUCUUGACGGUACCUAAUCAGAAAGCCACGGCUAACUACGUG